rnacentral:rRNA from 1 species
UUGGUGACCCAGGUGCAACUACAAGACAACCACCUCGACACCAUCACUUGGAAGCUCACCACCUCAGGGCAUUAUUCGGCGGCCACUGCAUACAAGGCACAGUUUUGCGGCAUCAUGGCUUCUAGCUUCAAGAGCAUGAUUUGGAAGAACUGGGCACCGCCAAAAUGCAAGUUCUUUGCCUAG